UACGGGGGGGGCAAGCGUUGUUCGGAAUUACUGGGCGUAAAGGGCUCGUAGGCGGCCAACUAAGUCGGAUGUGAAAUCCCCAGGCUUAACCUGGGAACUGCAUCCGAUACUGGAUGGCUUGAAUCCGGGAGAGGGAUGCAGAAUUCCAGGUGUAGCGGUGAAAUGCGUAGAUAUCUGGAGGAAUACCGGUGGCGAAGGCGGCAUCCUGGACCGGCAUUGACACUGAGGUGCGAAAGCGUGGGGAGCAAACAGG
rnacentral:rRNA from 1 species